AUUGAACGCUGGCGGCAUGCCUUACACAUGCAAGUCGAACGGCAGCACGGGAGCAAUCCUGGUGGCGAGUGGCGAACGGGUGAGUAAAGUAUCGGAACGUGCCCAGUCGUGGGGGAUAACGUAGCGAAAGUUACGCUAAUACCGCAUACGAUCUAUGGAUGAAAGCGGGGGAUCGCAAGACCUCGCGCGAUUGGAGCGGCCGAUAUCAGAUUAGGUAGUUGGUGGGGUAAAGGCUCACCAUGCCGACGAUCUGUAGCUGGUCUGAGAGGACGACCAGCCACACGGGGACUGAGACACGGCCCAGACUCCUACGGGAGGCAGCAGUGGGGAAUUUUGGACAAUGGGCGAAAGCCUGAUCCAGCCAUGCCGCGUGCAGGAUGAAGGCCUUCGGGUUGUAAACUGCUUUUGUACGGAACGAAAAGGUUUGGGCUAAUAAGCUGAGCUCAUGACGGUACCGUAAGAAUAAGCACCGGCUAACUACGUGCCAGCCGCCGCGGUAA
rnacentral:rRNA from 1 species